UACGGGGGGGAGCAAGCGUUGUUCGGAUUUACUGGGCGUAAAGGGCGCGUAGGCGGUCGUGACAAGUCACUUGUGAAAUCUCCGGGCUUAACUCGGAACGGUCAAGUGAUACUGUCGGACUAGAGUACAGAAGGGGCAACUGGAAUUCUCGGUGUAGCGGUGAAAUGCGCAGAUAUCAGGAGGAACACCGAUGGCGAAGGCAAUCCCCUGGGCCUGCACUGACGCUCAUGCACGAAAGCGUGGGGAGCAAACAGG
rnacentral:rRNA from 1 species